GACGAACGCUGGCGGCGUGCUUAACACAUGCAAGUCGAACGGAGUGGCGAACGGGUGAGUAUUACGUGAGUAACCUGCCCUCAACUGUGGGAUAAGCCUGGGAAACUUGGUCUAAUACUGCAUAGUUGGGGAUGGGCUCGCGGCCUAUCAGCUUGUUGGUGGGGUGAUGGCCUACCAAGGCGGUGACGGGUAGCCGGCCUGAGAGGGUGGUCGGCCAGAUUGGGACUGAGAUACGGCCCGGACUCCUACGGGAGGCAGCACGGGGGGUGAUUGUACAAGGGGAGCAAGUCUGAGUCAGGGACGCCGCGUGAGGGAUGAAGGCUUUCGGGUUGUAAACCUCUUUCGGUACAGAACGGGUAUGUGCAGAAGAAGCGCCGGCUAACUACGUGCCAGCAGCCGCGGUAAUAC
rnacentral:rRNA from 1 species